GAGCAGGCGCGCACCCCAAUGCCGUGGCCGGCGCCCAGUGGAGACUUCUUUCACAGGGUCUAGAAUAAUCUUCCGCGGAACACCCAUCCAUAUGCAGUGUUUGAGAACUAAGGCAGCUCCCUUGCUCUGUUUUCCUGCGCCUAGCCCCCGGACUUUUGUGCCGUUUGCAGCUCUUUUUCAUUUCGAAUACCCGCAUAGACGCGAGCCCACUUCUGCCCUCUUCCUACGCUGGGCGGCUCCAAACCCGCCGCGAGGGCUGAGGUGUUCACACCUGCCCACGGCAGCCUGCCUCGCCCUCAAGCGCCUCAAAGCUUCCUAAGCGCUUACAUUGGUCUUGGGACAGCCGACUUUGGCUUCUUUGUUUGUUUGAGGGACCGCGGAAGUGGCGGGGAAUGUGCCCCCGCUUGAGACCGCUUAUUGUGAGCCCUCAACGGAAAUCCUGCACGGAAGGCAACCGCCUCCCCGCUCGCGUUAGAAGGCUUCAUUUGCUCUGAGUUAUCAUUGAGAACUAAAUGGAGAAGAAAAGAACUGAAGGCCUGAAGAUAUGUCAUCUGUAGAAAAGGUGGCCUCUUCUCAAGCUUUCUUGGCAAAUCAAGAGCUUCUGCCUUUUGGAGGACAUCCUCUUGACCUCCCACCCAUAUCAGCUCUUAGAGGACAUUCCACAGGAACAUUGCCUUCUUGUCCUCCAGUAUUUUUUAUGGAAACAGAAAUUAGGUUAUCUUCCUUAUGCUCUAGAUGGACAUCUGAAAUCAUCAAACCCUUGAGAGAAACAGCCCUCAUUCUUUUAUGAGACAACCUGGAAGAAAACAGGACUCUGAAGAUUUGUCUCCAUAUUCUCUGGAAAGAUGUACUCUGUUUGCAAUAAGAGGGAGCCACAUGGUUUAUUAGAUGGUUAUUAAUUGAGCAUUCUGUGCAAAGAAGUUUGUGCCUUAGAUUUAGAAUUCCACCCUCAGUUGGAAUACAGAUGAUCCCUAACAAGUCACAUGAAAAAAUGAACUGUGGAGCCAGAAGAGUGAGUUCUUGGAGAACUAAGGGCCAGAGACCUGUGAGCAAGAUUUGAUAAUUUUAUAAAAAUUAAAAGACGAUUUGAAAUGUUAUUGGUCUUACUAAAACUUUUACUUGUGAACUGCAAUUGAUGACAUGAUCACUUGUGCCAAUUAUAAUUUUAUACCAAAGGACUGCAGAGCAUUGGAUGGGUUUGUUGGGCAGGUUUCUCACAAACGCUGACAGAAAGGUAUGACGAAGGAUGGGAGGACAAACUGGGGGGGUGCCAAGUAGAAAAACAGAAGCGAUGGCUAAGUGCUCGUCCUGGACUCUGCCCUUUGAUAAGGGACUGAAGGUCCCUUAUGAUCUUCUUUCAAAUUCCACCGUCACAGUUUUAGUCACAUCCAUCUAUAAUAUUAUUUACUAUCAGACUUUUCUUUAAAUUGACUCGCUUUUUCACUUUAGCCUUAUCCCAAGCAAUAAUGCAUAUAAAUCAUAAGUUUGUUGUAAUAGAUUUUUUGUAAUACUAAUCAAAAUUAAAUUUAUUCCCCUGUAACAGAGAUAA
rnacentral:lncRNA from 1 species